UGGGGAAUAUUGGACAAUGGGCGAAAGCCUGAUCCAGCCAUGCCGCGUGUGUGAAGAAGGUCUUCGGAUUGUAAAGCACUUUAAGUUGGGAGGAAGGGCAGUUACCUAAUACGUGAUUGUUUUGACGUUACCGACAGAAUAAGCACCGGCUAACUCUGUGCAAGCAGCCGCGGUAAUACAGAGGGUGCAAGCGUUAAUCGGAAUUACUGGGCGUAAAGCGCGCGUAGGUGGUUUGUUAAGUUGGAUGUGAAAUCCCCGGGCUCAACCUGGGAACUGCAUUCAAAACUGACUGACUAGAGUAUGGUAGAGGGUGGUGGAAUUUCCUGUGUAGCGGUGAAAUGCGUAGAUAUAGGAAGGAACACCAGUGGCGAAGGCGACCACCUGGACUAAUACUGACACUGAGGUGCGAAAGCGUGGGGAGCAAACA
rnacentral:rRNA from 1 species